rnacentral:rRNA from 1 species
CCUACGGGCGGCAGCAGUGAGGACUAUUGGUCAAUGGGAGGAAUCCUGAACCAGCCAUGCCGCGUGAGGGAAGACGGUUUUCGGAUUGUAAACCUCUGUCCUCUGUGAAGAUAAUGACGGUAGCAGAGGAGGAAGCUCCGGCUAACUACGUGCCAGCAGCCGCGGUAAUACGUAGGGAGCAAGCGUUGUCCGGAUUUACUGGGUGUAAAGGGUGCGUAGGCGGCCCUGCAAGUCAGAAGUGAAAUCCAUGGGCUUAACCCGUGAACUGCUUUUGAAACUGUAGGGCUUGAGUGAAGUAGAGGCAGGCGGAAGUCCCGGUGGAGCGGUGAAAUGCGUAGAGAUCGGGAGGAACACCAGUGGCGAAGGCGGCCUGCUGGGCUUUAACUGACGCUGAAGCGCGAAAGCGUGGGUAGCGAACGGGAUUAGAUACCCUAGUAGUC